UACGUAGGGGGCAAGCGUUGUCCGGAAUUAUUGGCGGUAAAGAAGCGCGUAGGCGGUCCGGUAAGUCGGCUGAUGGAAAGUACCAAGGGCUCAACCCUUGAAAGCCGGCCGGAUACUGUCGGACUAGAGUCCGGAAGAGGCGAGUGGAAUUCCCGGGUGUAGCGGUGCAAAUGCGCAGGAUAAUCGGGAGGAACACCAAUGGCGAAGGCGAGCAUCGC
rnacentral:rRNA from 1 species